UACGGAGGGUGCAAGCGUUAUCCGGAUUCACUGGGUUUAAAGGGUGCGUAGGUGGGCAGGUAAGUCAGUGGUGAAAUCUCUGGGCUUAACCCGGAAACUGCCAUUGAUACUAUCUGUCUUGAAUACCGUGGAGGUUAGCGGAAUAUGUCAUGUAGCGGUGAAAUGCUUAGAUAUGACAUAGAACACCAAUUGCGAAGGCAGCUUACUACACAGUUAUUGACGCUGAGGCACGAAAGCGUGGGGAUCAAACAGG
rnacentral:rRNA from 1 species